UUACAACCUUAUGCUAAAAAUACUCCUCUUUUCAGAAGCGGCUUCUACCUGAGAAAUGAACAAACAGAGCCUUCAAAAAAUCCUGUGAGUUCCUGUGUUUUAGCAGAAAACCAAGGAUUUUUAUGCUUGGGGGAGAAACAAAGACAUCUGAACCAUUUGCACAACACAGAAGCUCUUCAGCAUGAGUCCUUAAAGGGCUGGAGGCUUGCUGGGGAAGUUUUGAGGAGGAGAGUCAUAAAGAACAGAAGGUUUUACGAUGCAAGGUUGAAUGGGAAACUUUUAUUGGAAGGGCUUGGCCAGCUUCUGUCCCAUGGGAGAAAGGCGGAGGAAUCUGAAUGUACUGUUUUCUCUUCUGGAAGGUCAAAGCUGUUGCACACAACGGCAAAGCAGCAUAGCAGAAAUACCCUUUCUCCUCUCUCAUCACAGUCAGAAAUGGAGGAGGGGAAGAAGUCCCACACACCACAUUUCAGCAAAGCCCUGAAGCUCCUUGCCUUGUGCAUGCUGACCAGGAGCUCUGCUCCCAUGGGGAACCAGCAGACCUUCAUCUCAUUUGAGGCAAUCUUCAUUUUGCCAGUGGCCCCGGAUGAAAGCUGGGAGCAUCGUUUGCAUACAGCGGGUGAGAAGGCAGCAGGCUGGAGGCCAUCACUCAUCGCUGAAAGGAUGAUCAUUGUUUGUUUAGCUCAUUCCAGAAUAAUGGCUCUGCUGGGAACACCAACCCAGUAUGCAUCAUAUCUUUUAUAGUAUAUAUUAAUUUAGCGUAGACAUUAGGCCAUCAUUAUUCCCUCCUUUUAAUUCUCAUGUCUUAGCAUUCGGGAUCAGUUUUAACCCAGCACACGUCUUUGUUAUUUCAUAGUGUAAAAUAAAUAAAGCUGGAGGCAAAUACA
rnacentral:lncRNA from 1 species